rnacentral:rRNA from 1 species
UACGUAGGGUGCGAGCGUUGUUCGGAUUCAUUGGGCGUAAAGGGUGCGUAGGCGGCGCGGUAAGUCGGGUGUGAAAUCUCGGAGCUUAACUCCGAAACUGCAUUCGAUACUGCCGUGCUUGAGGACUGGAGAGGAGACUGGAAUUUACGGUGUAGCGGUGAAAUGCGUAGAUAUCGUAAGGAAGACCAGUGGCGAAGGCGGGUCUCUGGACAGUUCCUGACGCUGAGGAGCGAAAGCGUGGGGAGCGAACAGG